GGUGGAAGCCGCCGGGGUAUCCUUGACCCAAAAUUGCCGUGUCUCUGACCCUGGAGACGUUUAGGGUCCCAGCAGCAGGAGCUGACGAAGCGCUCGAGUGCACCGGGAUGUGCAGAUGCUCGGGGCUUGGCCCACGCCCUGGGAGGAGGUCACUGUCGCCUGGGCCAGGUCAGAAUUCCUGGAGGGCAGAACCGUGGAGAAGCCGGCUCCUCUUGUUCCUGAGAGCUGGGAGCAGGCCCGGAGGCUUUUGUGUAAACUCAGCCAAGUGCUGGAUAAACAGCCCAGAGCCCGCCGGCGCGACCAUCAGCUGGCAGGAGGCCCAGAGGGCGACGGGAGCCAGUGAGACCUCCGCACCCAGCUGUUCCCCACUGCCCGCCCUGCCCUCCGAUGCCCCGGAGGGGCUGCAGGGUGGGCUGCACUCUCAGCGACCCUCGCGCUGCCACCGCGGCCUCCCCGCCGGCCCUGUGUGUCACAACACUUUAAAAUGUAGCCAAGGGAAGCGGACUUGGCCCAGUGGUUAGGGCGUCCGCCUACCACAUGGGAGGUCCGCGGUUCAAACCCCGGGCCUCCUCCACCCGUGUG
rnacentral:lncRNA from 1 species